rnacentral:rRNA from 1 species
GACGAACGCUGGCGGCGUGCUUAACACAUGCAAGUCGAACGGAAAGGCCCUGCUUUUGUGGGGUGCUCGAGUGGCGAACGGGUGAGUAGCACGUGAGUAACCUGCCCUUGACUUUGGGAUAACUUCAGGAAACUGGGGCUAAUACCGGAUAGGAGCUCCUGCUGCAUGGUGGGGGUUGGAAAGUUUCGGCGGUUGGGGAUGGACUCGCGGCUUAUCAGCUUGUUGGUGGGGUAGUGGCUUACCAAGGCUUUGACGGGUAGCCGGCCUGAGAGGGUGACCGGCCACAUUGGGACUGAGAUACGGCCCAGACUCCUACGGGAGGCAGCAGUGGGGAAUAUUGCACAAUGGGCGGAAGCCUGAUGCAGCAACGCCGCGUGCGGGAUGACGGCCUUCGGGUUGUAAACCGCUUUCGCCUGUGACGAAGCGUGAGUGACGGUAAUGGGUAAAGAAGCACCGGCUAGCUACGUG